CAUACGUACAUAUAUACACGUACAUGCAUACAUCUACAUAUCCCUCCUUAUCAAUGUACAUAGCCCUUAUUUUUUAAAAUAUUAUUUCCGCCUUUCAUUAACACUCUUAUGGUCAUUACAAGUCGAACUUUAAACUUGGUAGUUAGAACAGUCAAGUACUGCUAACUAUAGACGGUCUUGCUCAGUGUGUCUCAGGGCCAUCUUCAUUUUCUUCAUUUUUGAAAUCCUACUCAGCAAAAUGUCCAAGUACUUCAUGAAGUUUUCACAAUGAUUUUACGAGAACUAUGUAUGUUUCAAGAGGUAACUUUUAAUUUUUUUUGAUAACUAAGAGAAGGAAAGGUGUAUUCAUAUCACUUUUACGGGCUUCCGAGACAGACGUGCUGGAAAAGUUAUUCUUACACUGGAGAUAUGACUUGAAUAUUUGCAACAUAACGGCCUUCGCUAAAACGUACGCAAGGGCCACGUAGUGGUGUUAAAUCGGACGAAUGAGUAAGUCUAUUGCUUAAGAAUCUGAUGUUCACUGAAUCUUAUACUGAAUCUUUUGUUUAAUAUUUUGUUUAAUUCCUCGACUGAGUCAUCUAUGAUUUACAGUAGUGAUACCAAACCUUUUUGCACCGCCGACCGAGGGAACACACGCAUAACAGAACAUAACAAAGUGCACCAUAUAUAAUUUAAUUAUAUAUAUAUAUAUAACACAUAUAUUACAUAUGUAAUGCGACAACAUUUUCUAAGCAAACUUUGGAAGUUUUGAAUGUGUUUGGUAUUUUACAGACAAGAAAGAAAAUUUCGAGCACAGUAUAAUGUGAAAACAACAGAAAGAUUAGGUAUUUUUUCGUUUUAAAACGGUAAAAUAACUAAUCUUUCUGCUGUUUUGGCAGCUAUACUAUGUUCGAAAUUUACUUUUUUGCCUGUAAAAUGCAUAUGUAAUAUUUGUAUAAUACAAAAACACCCUGCAAACUGCGAUAAUCAGUAGUAGUAGGCAUCCAUUGGUCUCGAGAGGCCAUGGAUCAGAGGUGAUAGUCAGCAAAAUAGAAAUAAAACUAAAAAUUUAUUCUUUGUGUGGUCCAGUGCCAAAUGAUCUACAGCCUGGCAUUGAUUUGCGACCCGGCCUUGAAUUACAUAAUAUAAACCAUAUUUUUGCGUCUAUGUGUGAACUAUGUUCGUAUAUUUUCUUAUCUUCAGUACACACAUAUAGUACACACACAUACGUACACACAUAUAGUUGCACGCGCACAAUCACACUCACAUACACACAACUACAAUCGCAUAAAUCACAUGCAAAUGUAUACUUGCAUAAACACGCUUGCACGCGCACAGUGCUACACACACAUAAUAUAACAGAAUUUCGAACGAUCUUAUAUUGCAAUGGAUUUGCAGCCUAGCUGAUAAGAGUGUUAAAGUUCUCAGAAAGUCAGAAAUGCCAUUCACAACAAGGAAGCACAAGGAGACGGCAACCAUCUGUAAAGAUGGAACAGUUACUAUGUACCUUCGUACAUAUGUAUGUAUGUAUGUAUGUAUGUAUGUAUGUAUGUAUGUAUGUAUGUAUGUAUGUAUGUAUGUAUGUAUAACUAAGGAUUCUGAAACCGAAGUAAUUUAUUCAUAUACAAUUAGACAGAGCAAAAUGAACAAGAUAAGAUAAAAUAAAAUGAAUUAAACUGUUUAAUUAGUACAGAAAAUAAAUCAUUCCGGUAAUACUUCAUCAUUAGAAUAUAAAUACUCUGAAAAUGUUCAUAUCCUUUUUUGAGUCAUGGUUAGUUGCCGCUAGAUUAAAGCCUUUGGCAAGUUGCAGUGUUAUAUUGCACAGAAUCUUCAAAACGUAUCUACACUUCCCAAUUAGAUGAAUGAAGCUUAAGAAAAACAAAAAGAUCAUCAUAUGCAACCAAAAUAUGACGCAAGUUAAAUAUCAGUAUACUUUUUAAGCUUCACACAGGCACAUACACACAUGCAUAUAAACUCGAAAAUGAUCAUACUUAUAAUAUUAUUUACGCAUUUAAGAUUGAUAAUAAAAUCUGCGAACUUCAGCUAUGAAUAAUCUUUCAUUCUUAAACAUAACUCCCGCCUACCAAACGACUAUAUACAAAACAGAUAU
rnacentral:lncRNA from 1 species